AACUGGGAAUAAUACUAGAUAGGCAAUUUUUCCUGGAAUGGUUUUUUGUUUAAAUGUUUUUUCGCCUAAGGAUGGGUCUGCGGCCGAUUAGGUAGUUGGUUAGGUAACGGCUUACCAAGCCAUUGAUCGGUACGGGUUGUGAGAGCAAGAGCCCGGAGAUGGAACCUGAGACAAGGUUCCAGGCCCUACGGGGUGCAGCAGGCGCGAAACCUCCGCAAUGUGAGAAAUCGCGACGGGGGGAUCCCAAGUGCCAUUCUUAACGGGAUGGCUUUUCAUUAGUGUAAAGAGCUUUUGGAAUAAGGGCUGGGCAAGACCGGUGCCAGCCGCCGCGGUAACACCGGCAGCUCUAGUGGUAGCAGUUUUUAUUGGGCCUAAAGCGUCCGUAGCCGGUUUAAUAAGUCUCUGGUGAAAUCCUGUAGCUUAACUGUGGGAAUUGCUGGAGAUACUAUUAGACUUGAGACCGGGAGAGGUUAGAGGUACUCCCAGGGUAGAGGUGAAAUUCUGUAAUCCUGGGAGGACCGCCUGUUGCGAAGGCGUCUAACUGGAACGGUUCUGACGGUGAGGGACGAAAGUUAGGGGCGCGAACCGGAUUAGAUACUCGGGUAGUCCUAACUGUAAACGAUGCGGACUUGGUGUUGGGGUGGCUUUGAGCUGCUCCAGUGCCGAAGGGAAGCUGUUAAGUCCGCCGCCUGGGAAGUACGGUCGCAAGACUGAAACUUAA
rnacentral:rRNA from 1 species